rnacentral:misc_RNA from 1 species
GUGAAUCAUCGAAUCUUUGAACGCAAAUUGCACUCUCUGGUAUUCCUGAGAGUAUGCCUGUUUGAGUGUCAGUUAAAUAAAAAUCGGCGCCUUGUUGCCGCUUUGCGUAUUGACGCAUCGUGUUUGGCUUGUCUUACCUUCGGUUAAGCGACCUAAAAUUUCGCAUGAUUUCUUCGAACGCAUUCAAAUGAUUUUACUCACGUUUGCGUUAUCUAAUACUAUGAGCGUUCAUCCUCAUGAUCCGCGCCUUCAAUUUCCCAUCAAAAUGACCUCAAAUCAGGUAAGAAUAU